CUUUUAACCUAUGUGAAGGGAGCAAGGGAAUCAAAUUGAAACAUAACAGGAGAAGUAAAAUUAGGUUACAGCAAGGCAAAAUUAGUAAAGAAAUCUGAAUGAAGAACUGUGAAAUCCGAAUGACGAGUCGUGAAUUCAGAACAACUCGACGAAACGUGAAAUCCGAACAAAGCAAAAAAGCAAGAACGGUGGCUAUUGUCGAUUAGGAAAACGAUACCUUGAAGCGAUAAUGGCUGAACUCACUGAGCAUAAACACAAUUUUCGAGAGCGAUUUCCGAAGGGAUUGUGGAAAUUGGGAAAUUGAGAGUGAAGAUUGUGCUGUCGCUGAAGAAAGAAAUUGCGAAGCUAUUCUAAAAAUUGAGAGAUUGGAAGGUUCUGAAAUAGGGAAAUUGAGAAAGUGAAAUAAGAAAGGAGAAGACGAGUGAACAAAUAGCGCGUAUGUUUAAAU
rnacentral:lncRNA from 1 species